UACGUAGGGUGCAAGCGUUGUCCGGAAUUAUUGGGCGUAAAGAGCUCGUAGGCGGUCUGUUGCGUCUGCUGUGAAAACUCGGGGCUUAACCCCGGGCCUGCAGUGGGUACGGGCAGACUAGAGUGCGGUAGGGGAGACUGGAAUUCCUGGUGUAGCGGUGAAAUGCGCAGAUAUCAGGAGGAACACCGGUGGCGAAGGCGGGUCUCUGGGCCGUAACUGACGCUGAGAAGCGAAAGCAUGGGGAGCGAACAGG
rnacentral:rRNA from 1 species